rnacentral:rRNA from 1 species
UUUGAUUUCCUUCGGGAUUGAUUAUUUUGUGACUGAGUGGCGGACGGGUGAGUAACGCGUGGGUAACCUGCCUUGUACAGGGGGAUAACAGUUGGAAACGGCUGCUAAUACCGCAUAAGCGCACGGCAUCGCAUGAUGCAGUGUGAAAACUCCGGUGGUAUAAGAUGGACCCGCGUUGGAUUAGCUAGUUGGUGAGGUAACGGCCCACCAAGGCGACGAUUGGUAGCCGGACUGAGAGGUUGAACGGCCACAUUGGGACUGAGACACGGCCCAGACUCC